GUGAAAUUGAAAUGAGUUUUAGUGCUGCUUCACAGAUACAGAUAUAGAUGCAAGUAGCAUCUUUCUCUAAAGUCUUCUUCUGUGCUUCGCCUGAGAUUUCGGGGUCGAGCGUUAUCUUUUCUUCGACUUAUCGCUGCUGACUGAGGAGAGAUGCCUCGUUGCUUGUUCUUGUGGCACAGAAACAAGAAACGAGAACAGUCUGUAAAUUGAAUGAUAAGCACGCACACAGGCGUUCCCUUCCACAUCUGAAUGACGAUACACUCGUAGUAUGAUGUGGCGAUCGUUGUUG
rnacentral:lncRNA from 1 species